AGGACGAACGCUGGCGGCGUGCUUAACGCAUGCAAGUCACGGGGGGUAGCAAUACCAACCGGCGAACGGGUGCGUAACACGUGAACAACCUGCCCUCGUGUGGGGGAUAGCCGGGCUAACGCCCGGGUAAUACCGCAUACGUUCCCUUGGAGGAUUCUCUGGGGGAGGAAAGCUCCGGCGCACGGGGAGGGGUUCGCGGCCUAUCAGCUAGUUGGCGGGGUAAUGGCCCACCAAGGCGACGACGGGUAGCU
rnacentral:rRNA from 1 species